GUUGGAUUCGAUGCAGAGCAUCGGAGACGUUGCCGUUGUCCUUGCACGACUCAUCAGAUCCAACCUCGGGCCCGCGCCAGCUGUGUACGGAGCCCUCGCUAUGGUGCUCAGUCUCUGCAACUGCAACUCAAUGGUGAGUCCAUCAUCCAUUCAUUGCUCUCUGACUCGUACACAUUUGAAUUUGUUCUCGUUUUUCAGCCUUGCAUGAAGCUGCCAGCUAUUGACGCCCUCUCUUAAUUACCCAGUUAUGAAUGGAGUCAGUUGGGGUCGUCUAUAAAUUUGCUUGUGAUGUGCUUGCAAACCAAGACUUUGUUGAGGCUUUUCUGCGGGGACAGGGGAGACGCCAGUGAUCAAGCGGCAGCGGCCUACAGCCUGGAAGAGCUGCACAAGGGAGCCGCCAAGAUCUCCAACGACAUCCUCGACUCUGUCGGGGUUUCAGUAUAUGCAACAACAAAAAAUUCGACAAUAGUAUACGUGACAAAUGGUGCUAUUUGCGUUCGCUGCAAUCUCCUCAUACUUACCAGGGUUGAGUGCCCAACAUUCCCGAAGAUGGCACCCAAGACGUGUCCGCAGCCAGAACCAGCGAAGUUGUCGUACAAGAAGCUGGGAGAUUCAGAUCUCUCUUAGAACAAUGAUCUUGGAGAGCAAAGCACAGAGAAGGAAUCCCAUGAUAUGCUCUCUUAUUCUUUUAAUCAGGUCAUCAACAUACUGGACACCGCAGAAAUUGCCGGCACAAUAUAUCGGUGUUUCCAAUGAAACCCCGUACGGAGUAAUGCAGUUUGUACAUGCUGCAAAGCUUGAUGGACUUCCAAAGAUUAUGAGCAUCUAGAAUGGUUAUAGUCAACUUGUGAGAUGCAGCUUCGAAGGUGAAACAGAGAUGUCAGCCAUAAUUUAUUCAUUUUCAUUCAAUGGAACUCCAUGCCAUCCCUGUUGUUCUAAAACUUAUUUGCAGACAUGUAAUUUAGAGAAAGAGGGAGGAAAGAACUCCUCGGUUGUAGUUCAGAUCAUCGGCCUGCUGUGAUAUCUUUCAUAAUUAAAUUUUUAGUCGAAUAGUCUUGGCUGCUUAUUAGGUCUUUGGAGUUAUGUUCAGUGGUUAUCAUUCAUCAUCAUCAUCAUGCGAUGAUUUCAUUUUGUGGAUGCUUGAGUUUAGAAAAUUUAGGCUCUGCAGUCCAUCAUCUCUAUAGGUAUAAGUCUUUGUAGGA